rnacentral:rRNA from 1 species
AAUCAACGCUGGCGGCGUGCCUAACACAUGCAAGUCGAACGCGAAAAGGGCUUCGGCUCUGAGUAGAGUGGCGUCCGGGUGAGUAACGCGUGGGUAAUCUACCUUUGGGUGGGGAAUAACUAGUCGAAAGGCUAGCUAAUACCGCAUAACGCAAUUUUCUAUUAGGGAAUUGUUAAAGCAGUAAUGUGCCUAAAGAUGAGCCUGCGUCUGAUUAGUUUGUUGGUAGGGUAAUGGCCUACCAAGACUACUAUCAGUAGCUGGUCUGAGAGGACGGCCAGCCACAAUGGCACUGAAACACGGGCCAUACUCCUACGGGAGGCAGCAGUGGGGAAUAUUGCACAAUGGGCGAAAGCCUGAUGCAGCAACGCCGCGUGAGCGAUGAAGGCCUUCGGUCGUAAGACUCUGUCCUCAAGGAAGAUAAUGACGGUACUUGUAGGAGGAAGGCCCCGGCUAACUACGUGCCAGCAGCCGCGGUAAGGCACGACUGU